CCUACGGGGUGCAGCAGUGAGGAAUAUUGGUCAAUGGGCUUACGCCUGAACCAGCCAAGUCGCGUGAGGGAAGACUGCCCUAUGGGUUGUAAACCUCUUUUGUCAGGGAGCAAUUGGCGCUACGUGUAGCGUUAUCGAGAGUACCUGAAGAAAAAGCAUCGGCUAACUCCGUGCCAGUAGCCGCGGUAAUACGGAGGAUGCGAGCGUUAUCCGGAUUUAUUGGGUUUAAAGGGUGCGUAGGCGGAAUGCCAAGUCAGCGGUAAAAUCGCGGGGCUCAACCUCGCUCCGCCGUUGAAACUGGCGGUCUUGAGUGUGCGUGAAGUAUGCGGAAUGCGUGGUGUAGCGGUGAAAUGCAUAGAUAUCACGCAGAACUCCGAUUGCGAAGGCAGCAUGCCGGCGCCCAACUGACGCUGAAGCACGAAAGCGUGGGGAUCGAACAGGAUUAGAUACCCGGGUAGUC
rnacentral:rRNA from 1 species